UACAGAGACUGCGAGCGUUAUUCGGAUUCACUGGGCGUAAAGGGUGCGCAGGCGGCCAAGUGUGUGAGGCGUGAAAGCCCGGGGCUUAACCCCGGAAUUGCACCUCAAACUACAUGGCUAGAGUACUGGAGAGGGUAACGGAAUUCACGGUGUAGCAGUGAAAUGCGUAGAUAUUCGGAAGAACACCAGUGGCGAAGGCAGCGAAUUGGCGCUAUAUUGACGCUCAGGCACGAAAGCAUGGGGAUCAAACAGG
rnacentral:rRNA from 1 species